rnacentral:rRNA from 1 species
AUUGAACGCUGGCGGCAUGCCUUACACAUGCAAGUCGAACGGCAGCACGGGGGCAACCCUGGUGGCGAGUGGCGAACGGGUGAGUAACACAUCGGAACGUACCCGGUGGUGGGGGAUAGCCCGGCGAAAGCCGGAUUAAUACCGCAUACGGCCUACGGGUGAAAGCGGGGGAUCGUAAGACCUCGCGCUAUCGGAGCGGCCGAUGUCAGAUUAGGUUGUUGGUGGGGUAAAGGCCUACCAAGCCGANGAUCUGUAGCUGGUCUGAGAGGACGACCAGCCACACUGGGACUGAGACACGGCCCAGACUCCUACGGGAGGCAGCAGUGGGGAAUUUUGGACAAUGGGCGCAAGCCUGAUCCAGCCAUGCCGCGUGCGGGAAGAAGGCCCUCGGGUU